GUGUCAGCAGCCGCGGUAAAACGUAGGAGGCGAGCGUUAUCCGGAUUCACUGGGCGUAAAGCGCGCGUAGGCGGUUAGGCAAGUCGGGUGUUAAAGCCCCUGGCUCAACUGGGGGAGGUCAUUCGAUACUGCUUGGCUUGAGGGUGAGAGAGGAAAGUGGAAUUCCCGGUGUAGCGGUGGAAUGCGUAGAGAUCGGGAGGAACACCAGUGGCGAAGGCGGCUUUCUGGCUCACUUCUGACGCUGAUAGCGCGAAAGCGUGGGGAGCAAACGGGAUUAGAUACCCCGGUAGUCCACGCUCUAAACGAUGAGGGCUGGGUGUUGGCAGGGUUUCCUGUCUGUGCCGAAGCAAACGCGUUAAGCCCUCCGCCUGGGGACUACGAACGCAAGUUUAAA
rnacentral:rRNA from 1 species